rnacentral:lncRNA from 1 species
CUGAAAUAACGUGGAACACGAGAUGUAUGAUGUUAAUGAUAGCAUUAUGGAUAAAUUGGGAAUUUGUAUUAUUUACAUUAGCCCAUUUUAUCGACGAAGAUGCAAAAAUUGAUACAAAUCGAGCCCAUGAGUCUCUCAAAGCACAGCAGUCUCCGACAGACUUGGAGAGGUUGUAUUUGAGAACCCAUGAUGCGCACGACGACGUUUGUAAAGUAGGCCUAUAUCUCAACACUACAUCGUCUUCAAGUGAUCCAGCAGAGGACUCAAUGAUCGAAAACACUUUCGAGUGCCAUGCAUGUGCGGACCACAGCUUGAAUGAUAAAUGGCGAAAUGCGGGCCGAAAUAGUCCGAAUCCCACACAAAUUGAUGAAUUUGAGGAAUUUCCCAGAGAACCUGUGACUUGGCGGUACUUGAGACAUCAGCAGAAUUUGGAUGGAGUCAUGGUGUCUGACGUCUAUCAGCCAUUGUUUCAUUGCGAGGAUGAUCUCCUUUGGAUAAAGUUUGCCAUCACUCAGCACUCGGAUCCGCGCUUGAUUAUCAAGACCAACUGGACUGAUUCACUCUCACAAAAGCAGUGUCAGUGUAUCAAAAGGAAUAAUGGGCCAUCGAUGCUGCUGAGGAUCGAUUUCAAAGACUGCUAUGCUCUAAAACAGGUAAGAUAUUCUCUUAGCAGUACCCUAAAUGUCAUGCUACAAAUAUUUAUUUGCCACCUUGACAGACUUUUUUUUUUUUUUUUUUUUUUUUUUUUUUUUUUUUUUUUUUCUUCCUUUGCUAUGCUUAUUUCUGGACUUUUUAAUUGAAUUAUAUAGAUCUAUCCUGUUCCGUUUAUG